ACAUUGACCACGACCUGUCACCUCAACGUGACCAUGCAAAGUGCAGGAUCAUCGUUAAGUUUUCUUCAGUGGAUGACCUUUACUUAAACUUGAACAGGAUAGGUAUGGCUAAUACAACGCCAGACUGCAGGCGAUGGAGAGUUGUAUUCUAAAACAUUAUAGAUAGACAAAUUAGUCCUCUGGCCUUUUUAAGGCUAAAUCAGAAUGAGAAACAGAGCGGACAGAACACCGGGCUGGAGACCAGGGAUGCCAGGGACUCUCAAGAAACUGGUCUUAGACUCUCUAGGUCCUCACUACAGGUCCUACUGACCUCAGGUAAUGACACAUCACAGGGGGACAUGCAUCGGGUGAACUGUGAACCGCAUGUCUGCGCAUUUACGGACGUUAAGUUGGGCGGUGUGCUCCCACCAGGAGCCGGCCAUGUUUACGUUCCGAACUCGGAGACCUGCGGGGACUCAUCGACUCCAUGAAGGACCGUCGGUUCAAACAGGGAACAGCCUACUCACCGAGCCUCCACCGGAGCUGCAGAGAUGGCCUGUUAACGCGGACCUUAUGGUGUCUGGAGAUGUGUGGAUGAUGAUAUGUGGUUGAGGACGUUUGGCGGAGACUGCUGCUGUAAGCGGCGCAUGAAGGGAAGCCGAGUGUUGUACAGCACCGCCCCGUCUGAGACGUCACGUUCACCGGCAAGCCUUACCAGGGUAUGGUGAAGGACGGAAUGCACAGGCGACACACCAAAGCACCAGAAAACACCCUGCCAACAUUGGGGGAGAUUUGGGUAUGGAAGGGGAGAUUUGGAGGUACCUGGUCAGGUCUUGGUCAGCCUUCAAAUCCCAGAUGUGGAGACUGCAGGGAUACCUCACAGAGAAGACACUAAAGAGUCAUCUCUCAUUCAUCGAGUGGACUCAUUGGUUUGCGAAUGACCACAAAGAUGCUCCCAUAGGCAGAUUGCUGCAUGGCAUUCACCGCUUAUUCAAAUUGAAGAGGUUGAAGCAGUCUUCCUUGUGGUCACUUGCCAUAACAAUGUCAUGUGUUUUAUGAAACACCAUCAGUAACAUUUAAAUUGAGUUGAUGUGGCUUUUUUUUGUGUCAGAUUUCUUCAGUGUUCAGUGCCUGUUUGUGAGAUAUGCAUUGUUUGAAAGAUAAGCCUUUGAUUUUGUUUAAUUUUAAUAUGCCUUUCAUCAACAGUUGUUUGGGGUUUUAUAACAACAAUUAAAGUGCUUAAC